rnacentral:rRNA from 1 species
UUCUACUGUCUCCUUUCUCUAAUCAGUGAAACUAAUCUCCCCGUGAAGAAGCGGGGAUACCACCAUAAGACGAGAAGACCCCAUGGAGCUUUAAACCCAACUACACCCCUACUUUCCAUAUCCACUCAACCAACAGGGCCCUGUACGCUUGGUUUUAGGUUGGGGUGACCACGGAGUAAAAUUAAACCUCCACGAUGAACGGGAAUACCCUCUUAUCUAAGAGCCACACCUCUNAGAAUUAGUAUACUAACAUAAAAUGAUCCGAUACUCGAUCAACGAACCAAGUUACCCUGGGGAUAACAGCGCAAUCCAUUUCAAGAGCCCCUAUCGACAAAUGGG